rnacentral:rRNA from 1 species
CGUCCAGGUUAUGGUACCUCGUACAUGCAAGUUCGGGGGUGAAUGGCUGUUUGCUCCCUGAGUUAGCGGCUGACGGGUGAGUAACACGUGGGUAACCUGCCUGUAAGACUGGGAUAACUCCGGGAAACCGGGGCUAAUACCGGAUGCUUGUUUGAACCGCAUGGUUCAGACAUAAAAGGUGGCUUCGGCUACCACUUACAGAUGGACCCGCGGCGCAUUAGCUAGUUGGUGAGGUAACGGCUCACCAAGGCGACGAUGCGUAGCCGACCUGAGAGGGUGAUCGGCCACACUGGGACUGAGACACGGCCCAGACUCCUACGGGAGGCAGCAGUAGGGAAUCUUCCGCAAUGGACGAAAGUCUGACGGAGCAACGCCGCGUGAGUGAUGAAGGUUUUCGGAUCGUAAAGCUCUGUUGUUAGGGAAGAACAAGUGCCGUUCAAAUAGGGCGGCACCUUGACGGUACCUAACCAGAAAGCCACGGCUAACUACGUGCCAGCAGCCGCGGUAAUACGUAGGUGGCAAGCGUUGUCCGGAAUUAUUGGGCGUAAAGGGCUCGCAGGCGGUUUCUUAAGUCUGAUGUGAAAGCCCCCGGCUCAACCGGGGAGGGUCAUUGGAAACUGGGGAACUUGAGUGCAGAAGAGGAGAGUGGAAUUCCACGUGUAGCGGUGAAAUGCGUAGAGAUGUGGAGGAACACCAGUGGCGAAAGCGACUCUCUGGUCUGUAACUGACGCUGAGGAGCGAAAGCGUGGGGAGCGAACAGGAUUAGAUACCCUGGUAGUCACG